CCUCAGUCUAUUCAACAUAAAGAUGACGAAGAUAAAAACCUUUAUGAUGAUCUACUUCCACUUAAUGAAAACAUCCAUCCAGUGAUGUAAUGGUGGUUAACAGCCAGAGAAGGCAACCAAAACCUUCAGUCUUUGUUUUCUUCAGGAAUUCAGUGUCUUGCAUCAGG